GAUGAACGCUAGCGGCAGGCUUAACACAUGCAAGUCGAGGGGCAGCAUGAGACGGAGAUUCGUCGAAGUCUUGAUGGCGACCGGCGCAAGGGUGCGUAACGCGUGAGCAACUUGCCCGUUUCUGGGGAAUAACCGGUGGAAACGCCGACUAAUACCCCAUAGUAUCAGAUUUAGGCAUCUUUAUCCAAUUAAAGAAAUUCGGAAACGGAUAGGCUCGCGUGACAUUAGCUAGAUGGCGGGGUAACGGCCCACCAUGGCGACGAUGUCUAGGGGUUCUGAGAGGAAGGUCCCCCCANACUGGAACUGAGACACGGUCCAGACUCCUACGGGAGCAGCAGUGAGGAAUAUUGGUCAAUGGGCGGGAGCCUGAACCAGCCAAGUCGCGUGAGGGAAGACGGGUACUAAGUAUUGUAAACCUCUUUGUCAGGGAACAAAGAGACCACGUGUGGUAAGAUGAGUGUACCUGAAGAAAAGCAUCGGCUAACUCCGUG
rnacentral:rRNA from 1 species